rnacentral:snRNA from 1 species
GUGCUCGCUUCGGCAGCACAUAUGCUAAAAUUGGAACGAUACAGAGAAGAUUAGCAUGGCCCCUGUGCAAGGAUGACAUGCAAAUUCGUGAAGCGUUCCUUUAUUUU